rnacentral:rRNA from 1 species
UACGUAGGGUGCGAGCGUUAAUCGGAAUUACUGGGCGUAAAGCGUGCGCAGGCGGUUCGGUGUGUCCGAUGUGAAAGCCCCGGGCUUAACCUGGGAAUGGCAUUGGAAACUGGCGGGCUUGAGUGCGGCAGAGGGGGGUGGAAUUCCGCGUGUAGCAGUGAAAUGCGUAGAGAUGCGGAGGAACACCGAUGGCGAAGGCAGCCCCCUGGGGCGACACUGACGCUCAGGCACGAAAGCGUGGGGAGCAAACAGG